rnacentral:lncRNA from 10 species
ACUCAGGCAAAGGUGCCACUGGCCACAGAGGUAUCUGGCUGAUGAAGCAACACCCCAAGGAUCAUGUGACAUUAUCACUUAUUAACUAUUUACUGACAGCUUAAGCUAACGUGACAAUACUUUAAUCCUUAAUUAUUAUUUGGCUUCAGAAUACACUCACCGUUAGAUUCAGAAUAUUCUCCCCACAUAUCUUUUAUUUGCUUAUUUGAAACUUAAAACUGAAGCAUUGCAUUGUAAUAUUUCUACCUGAAAAUAUUCUGUUCGACUAGCUGGAAAUGGGCUAUAAAAUCUCGUGAGGAUUUCUUUAGGCUGACAAUAUAAACAGAACAGAAGUUUCUAGUCAGCACAAGAAUAAAGUUCUCACUAUUAACCGCAUUACUAUUUGUUUAUAUUGGAUUGCCGCUAAAAUAACCCUAUUUCUAAAACUAUUUUCCACUUCUGUUAACCUUUCCUGUACUUUUCUUGGAAAAUGAGCAAUGUGUUAUGCAUGAAAAAGCCACUGCAUUAAGGAUAGAAGUAAAGUUUCAGAUUCCACAAUUAUUGUAGAUAGAGUUCCAAUGACUACACCUAAAAUCACUCAUAUAUUACAGUGUAAUUCAACAACUGAAUUGUAGAGGCUUUUGCAAGGAAUAAAAAUGUUGAAAAAUAUAUAUUCUCACCUAAAACAAUUUACAAUUUCUGAGAAAGGCUAAAGUCCUGUUAAAUAUUGGUUAAUGGUGCAUUAUACACGUGGAAAUACAUAUACACUCCCAGUUCCAAAUAGAUGCAAAUUGUGAUAAUUUUCACAUGCCAGAGAAAUACCAAGCAAGUGUAAUAGAGGAAACAGUCAUUUCCUAUAUGCUGUACUUCUCAUUUACACUUCUAAAUAUUUGUCUAAUGAUUUUUUUAACACUGGAUGGGGAGCUCCAUGAAGG